ACGACCGAUGAUGAGAACUGGUGGCGUUAGAGUGAUACUCAAUGAACGCCAGAUAUCCAGAGAUCUGAGGUCAUU
ensembl:snoRNA